UCCUCGGUGCUCCAAUGGCACGAGCGCCCUCGCGGUGGCCUAGGCUCCGUCAUCGAGGAGAUCCUGGUUCAAGUCCAGGUCGGGGAA